CACGUAGGGGACGAGCGUUGUCCGGAUUCAUUGGGCGUAAAGCGCGCGUAGGCGGCUCGGAAAGUCGGGCGUGAAAUGCCGGGACUCAACCCCGGGACUGCGUCCGAUACUUCCGAGCUGGAGGUAGGUAGGGGAGAUCGGAAUUCCUGGUGUAGCGGUGAAAUGCGCAGAUAUCAGGAGGAACACUGGUGGCGAAGGCGGCAUCCUGGACCAAUAUUGACGCUGAGGAGCGAAAGCCAGGGGAGCAAACGGG
rnacentral:rRNA from 1 species